rnacentral:rRNA from 1 species
UACGUAGGGUGCGAGCGUUAAUCGGAAUUACUGGGCGUAAAGCGUGCGCAGGCGGUUUGCUAAGACCGAUGUGAAAUCCCCGGGCUUAACCUGGGAACUGCAUUGGUGACUGGCAGGCUAGAGUAUGGCAGAGGGGGGUAGAAUUCCACGUGUAGCAGUGAAAUGCGUAGAGAUGUGGAGGAAUACCGAUGGCGAAGGCAGCCCCCUGGGCCGAUACUGACGCUCAUGCACGAAAGCGUGGGGAGCAAACAGG